GUACUUACACAAACCUAGAUGGUAUAGCCUACUACACACAUAAACUAUGUGGUACUAAUCUUAGGGGACCACUGUCGUAUACGUGGUCCAUCAUUGACUGAAACUUCGUUAUGUGAUGCAUGACUGUAGUAGUUGAUUGUACAACAACAUGCUCUGAAGUAUCAUUUUGGCAAUACCCUUAUCUUAAAGAGAAACGGAAACUAAUAGGUUAAGUAAGUUGUGAGCCAAGGCCUAUAUCUUGCUCACUAGUCAAAAAAGAGUGAUGGGGCGCCAGCCCAGUGGUGUAGUGGUUGGGUUUGCUUGCUCCUCUUCAGCAGCUCAGGGUUGACAGGUUCGGAUCCCAGGCAUGGACCUACACACUGCUCAUCAGGCCAUGCUGGCCAAUCUUCCUUACCCCACCCCACCCCAAAAAAAGGAAUGGGAUAAGUGACAUGAAUAAGUGGAAAGAGAGAAUUUGUCUCCUCUCUGGGAAAACUUAACCUUCAAAGCUGACACCACUAAGUUAAAGUUUUAAUGCAAUGGAACCACUUGAAUACUUUUUAUUACUUGACAGACUAAUAAAGUUAAUCAGACAUAAUAAACAUUGUCAAGAUUUUCUAUUAAGAUCAGAGCCCCUUCAGUGAGGUGUGAGCAUUUUAUAAAGCAAUUAUCAAAGCUGUAGUGGACUUAAAAAUUGGUCAUCAAUGCAUGGUACAUCCCAUACAUAGCUGCCCUCCUUGGACAGCCUUUGACUCAUGCCAAAAUUUAAAACAGCGCUGUGUCCUUAAUAACAUUCCCCAGAAAGAGAACCUACUUCAUGAGACAUAAAUAAGUAAUGUAUGUUUUACUAACAAUUUCACAGGAUUUGUAAAAAUACCCUGUUUUGUUCACAAAAUCCCAUGCAGUUAUCUCUUGUGGUUUUUUUAAAUUGUGGUCAAAAGAAACAUAGAAUGUGAAUCUACCCUUUGAACAAAUUCUAAAGUGUACAGUACAGUAUUGUUUUCCCUGAGCUUUUGAUUCUCACUUCCAGCUGCCCAGUCCUUCUAAAAAUUUCCUCCUUUUAAAUCUUCUUUCUUAUGCAGUUGUAGGCAAUAUACAACCGCAGUAAGUAUAUUCUUACACUUGCUGAGGAAGUAGCAAAUAUGAUCAGUUUCUGUGUUCUUCUGUCAUGUGGCACUGAUCCUUGAUGCAGGGUCCCACUGCACAUAGGACUGAUAGUAAU
rnacentral:lncRNA from 1 species